rnacentral:lncRNA from 1 species
UUCAAUUGAAGAAGAAUUUAAAUGUAUAAAUCAACCUAUAAAUGACAAAAUUAUCAAUUAAUUUGUUUUCUUAAAAAAAUAAAAAGAUAGGCAAGCUGAAUAUAAUAAUUUGUUGAAAUAUGAGAGAAAUAAGUAAGACAAACUAAUUGAGAAACUCAAGUUUUGAUUUAUAGUUGAUGCUAAAAGCCUUCAAGUAUAUAGAAUAUAUAGGUAGUACUACUACUAUUACUAAUUCUACUACUACUACUACUAAUAUACUACUAGUGCUACUGCUAUUGUUACUUCUACUACUUCUACUAUUGCUACAACUGUUAGUCCU